CUGGCUUCCUGGUACCAAAACAAAAAACAAAAGCCCCACUUCUUAAUCUCAUCACCUGAGGAGUUAGGAUUGGAACAUAUGGAUUUUGGAGGAACACAGACCUAAAGACUAUAGCAGGAUAUAGUGAGUCCCACCUCCUCUGGGGCCCACUUAGUUGGAGGGAGAGUUUUAAAAGGGGAGGCAUCCCCAAGAACAUCUCAUUCAACCUUCUCAUCUGAGAAGCUGAGGCUCUGAGUGGUUUUUCCAGGGCCCCAGAGCAAAUACAAGCAUCUAUAAAAAUGACACCUCAGCUGAAUACAGCUCCAAGCUUUCAGCCAAAAUGUUCCUUUGCUUCUCUUAGAUGUCCUGUGUACCUGAAACCCAACAUAUAUCCCUUUCCUCGCUUCUUGGUGGUGGAGAGCCUACCUGUGUCUUUGCUGGCCUCAUUCUGUCUACUCCUCAUCCAUCUAGGUUAGGGUUCAGCUGGGUGACCAGAGGGCUCUACUAGCAAUAAAAACCUUUCUUAAAGAGUCACUAAGCAGUAAACAAGUACUUCCUGUGGGUUACCUACCAAGGCACAAAAACAAUGAGGACUACACUCAACCAGAACACCCAGAGGACAUAAGUAGUUUAUCACAACUCCUGCCUUUCUCUCAACCUAACCACAGCUAACAAAUGGCCAGGUCCACCUCAUUCUUAUCCCUUCCCUGACUCAGAAGGUCUUGGCAAGGGAACUUGUAAAGUAUACCUGGGAAGUUCUAGACAGUAAGUCCAGGGUACUGGUCCUGUCUCAGUAUGUGCCCUAGACCAGGCCCUUCUUGAAAGGAAGUGACCACAACACUCAGAGCAACCAAGAGAUCUUUAUUGCAGCAGUACAACAGAGGAGAAGAGAGAGAAAGAGAAGAGAGAGAGAGAGAGCAAGAGAGAGACAGAGAAAGCAAGAGAGAUAGCAAGAGAGAGAGGGGCCCAGCAGGAAGGAGUUUUUAUAGCCCAAAUCUAAUGAGGUCUCUGGGUCUGCAAGCUGCCUUGUUGGCACAAGGGGGGUUACGUGUUCGGCCUUGAGCAGGGGGUUGAGUGUUCAGCCUUGAGUGGGGGCUUGGGCGUUUGGGCUUGAAGCAAAUAGUUGAUAAAGAACCAGACAAAGGGUUUGAGAGGCCAGGUCAUCCUGCAGCUAACUUUGUUUGGCAUGCCCUGCAGACAUCUUACUCAGCCUGUCCUGCACCUAACACUUCUCAUAAGUCUUGGAAAUACCCCUCCUUCCAACCAGCGGUGAAAUAAAGAAAUUAGAUUUAUCUUUCUUUUUUUUUUCCAUCAGGGGAUUGAACCCAGAGCGCUUAACCCCUGAGACACAUCCCCAGCCUUUGUUAUUUUUUAUAAUGAGACAGUAUCUUGCUAAA
rnacentral:lncRNA from 1 species